GGGUUGUGAGGUUAAGCGACUAAGCGUACACGGUGGAUGCCCUGGCAGUCAGAGGCGAUGAAGGACGUGCUAAUCUGCGAUAAGCGUCGGUGAGGUGAUAUGAACCGUUAUAACCGGCGAUUUCCGAAUGGGGAAACCCAGUGUGUUUCGACACACUAUCAUUAACUGAAUCCAUAGGUUAAUGAGGCGAACCGGGGGAACUGAAACAUCUAAGUACCCCGAGGAAAAGAAAUCAACCGAGAUUCCCCCAGUAGCGGCGAGCGAACGGGGAGGAGCCCAGAGCCUGAAUCAGUGUGUGUGUUAGUGGAAGCGUCUGGAAAGGCGCGCGAUACAGGGUGACAGCCCCGUACACAAAAAUGCACAUACUGUGAGCUCGAUGAGUAGGGCGGGACACGUGAUAUCCUGUCUGAAUAUGGGGGGACCAUCCUCCAAGGCUAAAUACUCCUGACUGACCGAUAGUGAACCAGUACCGUGAGGGAAAGGCGAAAAGAACCCCGGCGAGGGGAGUGAAAAAGAACCUGAAACCGUGUACGUACAAGCAGUGGGAGCCUCUUAAUGGGGUGACUGCGUACCUUUUGUAUAAUGGGUCAGCGACUUAUAUUCUGUAGCAAGGUUAACCGAAUAGGGGAGCCGAAGGGAAACCGAGUCUUAACUGGGCGUUAAGUUGCAGGGUAUAGACCCGAAACCCGGUGAUCUAGCCAUGGGCAGGUUGAAGGUUGGGUAACACUAACUGGAGGACCGAACCGACUAAUGUUGAAAAAUUAGCGGAUGACUUGUGGCUGGGGGUGAAAGGCCAAUCAAACCGGGAGAUAGCUGGUUCUCCCCGAAAGCUAUUUAGGUAGCGCCUCGUGAAUUCAUCUCCGGGGGUAGAGCACUGUUUCGGCAAGGGGGUCAUCCCGACUUACCAACCCGAUGCAAACUGCGAAUACCGGAGAAUGUUAUCACGGGAGACACACGGCGGGUGCUAACGUCCGUCGUGAAGAGGGAAACAACCCAGACCGCCAGCUAAGGUCCCAAAGUCAUGGUUAAGUGGGAAACGAUGUGGGAAGGCCCAGACAGCCAGGAUGUUGGCUUAGAAGCAGCCAUCAUUUAAAGAAAGCGUAAUAGCUCACUGGUCGAGUCGGCCUGCGCGGAAGAUGUAACGGGGCUAAACCAUGCACCGAAGCUGCGGCAGCGACACUGUGUGUUGUUGGGUAGGGGAGCGUUCUGUAAGCCUGCGAAGGUGUGCUGUGAGGCAUGCUGGAGGUAUCAGAAGUGCGAAUGCUGACAUAAGUAACGAUAAAGCGGGUGAAAAGCCCGCUCGCCGGAAGACCAAGGGUUCCUGUCCAACGUUAAUCGGGGCAGGGUGAGUCGACCCCUAAGGCGAGGCCGAAAGGCGUAGUCGAUGGGAAACAGGUUAAUAUUCCUGUACUUGGUGUUACUGCGAAGGGGGGACGGAGAAGGCUAUGUUGGCCGGGCGACGGUUGUCCCGGUUUAAGCGUGUAGGCUGGUUUUCCAGGCAAAUCCGGAAAACCAAGGCUGAGGCGUGAUGACGAGGCACUACGGUGCUGAAGCGACAAAUGCCCUGCUUCCAGGAAAAGCCUCUAAGCAUCAGGUAACAUCAAAUCGUACCCCAAACCGACACAGGUGGUCAGGUAGAGAAUACCAAGGCGCUUGAGAGAACUCGGGUGAAGGAACUAGGCAAAAUGGUGCCGUAACUUCGGGAGAAGGCACGCUGAUAUGUAGGUGAAGCGACUUGCUCGUGGAGCUGAAAUCAGUCGAAGAUACCAGCUGGCUGCAACUGUUUAUUAAAAACACAGCACUGUGCAAACACGAAAGUGGACGUAUACGGUGUGACGCCUGCCCGGUGCCGGAAGGUUAAUUGAUGGGGUUAGCGGCAACGCGAAGCUCUUGAUCGAAGCCCCGGUAAACGGCGGCCGUAACUAUAACGGUCCUAAGGUAGCGAAAUUCCUUGUCGGGUAAGUUCCGACCUGCACGAAUGGCGUAAUGAUGGCCAGGCUGUCUCCACCCGAGACUCAGUGAAAUUGAACUCGCUGUGAAGAUGCAGUGUACCCGCGGCAAGACGGAAAGACCCCGUGAACCUUUACUAUAGCUUGACACUGAACAUUGAGCCUUGAUGUGUAGGAUAGGUGGGAGGCUUUGAAGUGUGGACGCCAGUCUGCAUGGAGCCGACCUUGAAAUACCACCCUUUAAUGUUUGAUGUUCUAACGUUGGCCCCUAAUCGGGGUUGCGGACAGUGUCUGGUGGGUAGUUUGACUGGGGCGGUCUCCUCCUAAAGAGUAACGGAGGAGCACGAAGGUUGGCUAAUCCUGGUCGGACAUCAGGAGGUUAGUGCAAUGGCAUAAGCCAGCUUGACUGCGAGCGUGACGGCGCGAGCAGGUGCGAAAGCAGGUCAUAGUGAUCCGGUGGUUCUGAAUGGAAGGGCCAUCGCUCAACGGAUAAAAGGUACUCCGGGGAUAACAGGCUGAUACCGCCCAAGAGUUCAUAUCGACGGCGGUGUUUGGCACCUCGAUGUCGGCUCAUCACAUCCUGGGGCUGAAGUAGGUCCCAAGGGUAUGGCUGUUCGCCAUUUAAAGUGGUACGCGAGCUGGGUUUAGAACGUCGUGAGACAGUUCGGUCCCUAUCUGCCGUGGGCGCUGGAGAACUGAGGGGGGCUGCUCCUAGUACGAGAGGACCGGAGUGGACGCAUCACUGGUGUUCGGGUUGUCAUGCCAAUGGCACUGCCCGGUAGCUAAAUGCGGAAGAGAUAAGUGCUGAAAGCAUCUAAGCACGAAACUUGCCCCGAGAUGAGUUCUCCCUGAGACUUAGAGUCUCCUGAAGGAACGUUGAAGACGACGACGUUGAUAGGCCGGGUGUGUAAGCGCAGCGAUGCGUUGAGCUAACCGGUACUAAUGAACCGUGAGGCUUAACCUUACAACGCCGAAG
rnacentral:rRNA from 1 species